rnacentral:rRNA from 1 species
CCUACGGGGGGCAGCAGUGGGGAAUAUUGGGCAAUGGGCGCAAGCCUGACCCAGCAACGCCGCGUGAAGGAAGAAGGCUUUCGGGUUGUAAACUUCUUUUGUCAGGGAAGAGUAGAAGACGGUACCUGACGAAUAAGCCACGGCUAACUACGUGCCAGCAGCCGCGGUAAUACGUAGGUGGCAAGCGUUGUCCGGAUUUACUGGGUGUAAAGGGCGUGUAGCCGGGUUGACAAGUCAGAUGUGAAAUCCUGCGGCUUAACCGCAGAACUGCAUUUGAAACUGUUGCUCUUGAGUACUGGAGAGGCAACUGGACUUCCUAGUGUAGCGGUGCAAUGCGUAGAUAUUAGGCGGACCCCAAGUGGCGAAGGCGGUCUGCUGGACAGCAACUGACGGUGAGGCGCGAAAGCGUGGGGAGCAAACAGGAUUAGAUACCCUUGUAGUC